AGAGUUUGAUCAUGGCUCAGAACGUACGCUGGCGGCACGCCUAACACAUGCAAGUCGAACGCAGUAGCAAUACUGAGUGGCAAACGGGUGAGUAUAAUGUGGGAAUCUGCCUUUUGGUUUGGAAUAACACGGGGAAACUUGUGCUAAUACUGAAUAAGCCCUUACGGGGAAAGUUUUAACGCCGAAAGAUGAGCCUGCACUUGAUUAGCUAGUUGGUAAGGUAAAAGCUUACCAAGGCGACGAUCAAUAGCUGUUCUUAGAGGAAGACCAGCCACAUUGGGACUGAGACACGGCCCAGACUCCUACGGGAGGCAGCAGUGGGGAAUCUUGCACAAUGGGGGAAACCCUGAUGCAGCGAUGCCGCGUGAGUGAAGAAGGCCCUUGGGUUGUAAAACUCUUUCGUCGGGGAAGAAAAUGACUGUACCCGAAUAAGAAGGUCCGGCUAACUUCGUGCCAGCAGCCGCGGUAAUACGAAGGGACCUAGCGUAGUUCGGAAUUACUGGGCUUAAAGAGCUCGUAGGUGGUUAAAAAAGUUGAUGGUGAAAUCCCAAGGCUCAACCUUGGAACUGCCAUCAAAACUUUUUAGCUAGAGUGUGAUAGAGGUAAGUGGAAUUUCUAGUGUAGAGGUGAAAUUCGUAGAUAUUAGAAAGAACACCAAAUGCGAAGGCAACUUACUGGGUCACUACUGACACUGAGGAGCGAAAGCAUGGGUAGCGAAGAGGAUUAGAUACCCUCGUAGUCCAUG
rnacentral:rRNA from 1 species